UUAGUGAAAUAGUUAAUCACUUUUUAUAGUGAUUAACAAUUGGACGUAGAAUCCUUUGAUUCGAACCAAUAUAAAAAUCAGUUGUGUUGAUUUUCUCUGACCUUACACUUUUAGCACUUUAACUGUUUGAUAAAAGUCCCAAAAGAAACUCACGAAUUUUAAAAGAAUCAAUUCACCCAUCUCCUCUUAGUUAUCGACUAAUACACACUAGUUUUAUUUAAAAAACCUUUCUGCUGCGUGAUACCGAUUGUUCCAACAAGAACCAAUUACCUCUUCAAUAUGGGGUCUUGCCAUGCAUUUUUGGAACAAACCUAGAAUUAGCAAAGAAGAAGAUAAACACAACACAAUACAAGUCAUUGAAUUCAUGAAUGAAAAAAGAAAGAGAAAAAGUGUGUGAAAGAAAGACAACUCUAUUUGAUUUUGAUGAAUGGUCCACUUGAACAAACUUGACAACCCCUUUAUAGCUUAACAAAGUUUAUUUGAAUUCAAUCAAAUUGUUACCACAUUCCAUUACUCCCUUAGUAUUUUAGUUAAAUUUAACUUUAUCCACAUGUCUACAAGGGAAAGUAGAACAAACAAAACUUAUCAAUUUCGCCUAUUAACCGAGGAUAUUCACUUUGGAGUGCUUCACCAUAACAUGAACUUUGUGAACUAUUCCCAAUGGAAUUUAGUGGUCUUGAACCUUAAAUUGGCAAAUGUAACCCAACUCUUCAGUUUCAACUACGAACCUCUAACAAUUUAUGGAAAUUUGAGUGACAUAGGGAUGUAUUCGGAGCUAGCGUAUUAUAAUGACAUGUUGCUGAGACAUGGAGACAAUGGGAAUGUGCAAACAGAGGUGUUACUACAAAAAGAUUGACGCUAGUUCAUCUUGAGAGAGGAAAAAGCAAAGAGAGCGAAGCUCGAACACUGUAACUAAAUCCUGAUUACCUUGACGGUCAGUGCGGGAGCGAACACGCCAGAGCCCCUCGAUGACCUAUGCAGCAACAACCACGACAGGGCCCCUCGAUUGGAGCAAUAACAAAUGCAGUAGGGACCUUCGAUGAACAAUAACACACCUCGUUCAACCUACAAAUGCAACACAAUUUUCAAUCCUAAGUAGGGGAAGACCAAGGCGAAGUCAAACUAAAGAGCUCCACGAACAAUAAGAAGCCUUAUUUGAAGAAUGUGAUGCGGGGAGGGAUACGACUUGCGAGAAA
rnacentral:lncRNA from 1 species